AUGAACAAAAUAACCAGUUGAAGAUGAUUCUCCAUAAAUUUUAAUUUUAAAAUGGUAUUAAAAUUUGUUCAAUAAAUUUUAUAAUUAAGUUAUAUAAUUAAGCUUAUUAACUUCUUCUUUUAUUCCAAUGCCAUGUUGACAGGAAGAUGUCGUCGUACAGGAAGUUGAGAUGUUUCUGUUCACAAACACGUGUACUGCUGCGUCGAAUCAUUCGAAAAAUUGACUAAAUAUAGAUUAAGAGCGGCGCUAUUGUUAGAUUCAAGUAGUGUUUUCGUUGCGUUUCUUCUUCGAUUUCGCUUUCGUAUAUACUCGUCAUGGGGCUAGUUGUAAAUUUACGAUGCCAGAAAAUUUGCCAAGCAAACAAUCGCAAUUAGUUUGUGAUUUAAUAUUUCCAUAUUUUAUUUUAUAAAUUGUACGCAGUUCUUUUGGCAUAAGUAUCUUUCUUUUUCUGGAAAUCGUUUUUGUAAACAGUGAUUGACAGUAUCUUUUUAUUUGCCAGAACGAUGCGCGUUAGAUAAACUAGUUGAUAGUUUCUUCACAAUUUAAUUAAUAUACGAAUUAUAUGAACAAAUAAGUAUGAUCAAUUUUAACAACGGACAUGUGCCAACAGCAGUUGAGAGCAGUAAUUGCUACUUACGAAAUCUUAGUAGGAAUGUUGGAUCACAGACAGACUAACAAAAUGUAAAAUAAAGUAAUAAUAAGUGUUACGUUUAUAAAAUAAAUUAAUAUAAUAAUAAUUUUAAC